GAAUCUUGCGCAAUGGGCGAAAGCCUGACGCAGCGACGCCGCGUGGGGGGUGAAGCUUUUCGGAGUGUAAACCCCUUUCGACCCGGAUGAAAACCCGCAAGGGUCUGACAGUACGGGUAUAAGAAGCCCCGGCUAACUACGUGCCAGCAGCCGCGGUAAGACGUAGGGGGCCAGCGUUGCUCGGAAUUACUGGGCGUAAAGGGUUCGUAGGCGGUGCGGCAAGUCGGGAGUGAAAUCCUGGGGCUUAACUUCAGGACUGCUCCCGAAACUGCUGUGCUGGAGUGCGGGAGAGGCGAGUGGAAUUGCCGGUGUAGCGGUGAAAUGCGUAGAUAUCGGCAGGAACACCAGUGGCGAAGGCGGCUCGCUGGACCGCAACUGACGCUGAGGAACGAAAGCUAGGGGAGCAAACAGG
rnacentral:rRNA from 1 species